AGCGGCGAACGGGCGAGUAACAGGUGGACAACCUACCUUCUGGCGGGGGACAACAGUUGGAAACGACUGCUAAUACCGCAUGUGAUUGCAUCUCCUCGGAAGUGCAAGGAAAGGCGCGUUUGCGUCACCAGAAGAUGGGUCCGCCCCCCAUUAGCUUGUUGGUGUGAUAACAGCGCACCAAGGCUCCGAUGGGUAGCCGAGCUGAGAGGUUGAUCGGCCACACUGGGACUGAGACACGGCCCAGACACCUACGGGUGGCAGCAGUAGGGAAUAUUGGACAAUGGACGAAAGUCUGAUCCAGCCAUGCCGCGUGAGUGACGAAGGUCUUCGGAUUGUAAAACUCUUUUAUGAGGGAAGAACAUCCCGGGGAGGAAAUGCCCCGGGCCUGACGGUACCUCAGGAAUAAGGGACGGCUAACUCCGUGCCAGCAGCCGCGGUAAUACGGAGGUCCCGAGCGUUGUUCGGAAUUACUGGGCGUAAAGGGGGCGCAGGCGGACAGGUCAGUGGAAAGUGGAAGCCCGGGGCUCAACCCCGGAAAGCCUUUCCAUACUGCUUGUCUUGAGUUCGUGAGAGGAGAGCGGAAUUCAGGUGUAGCGGUGAAAUGCUUAGAUAUCCUGAGGAACACCAAUGGCGAAAGCAGCUCUCUGGCACGUUACUGACGCUGAGGCCCGAAAGCGUGGGGAGCGAACGGGAUUAGAUACCCCGGUAGUCCACGCCGU
rnacentral:rRNA from 1 species